ncrna:Methylorubrum extorquens PA1 terC RNA
ACCCCAAUCCGGUCCCUUCUGGCACAGGUGCUGUCGAUAGCGUGUGCGAUGUCGGGUGGCAUCG